CUCUCUCUCUCUUUGAAAGUAUGAACCUAUAAAUAAACAAGAGCUACAUCAAUCUCAUUAGAUACGACCAAGCUACAUUGCAUUUUCAGCCAGAGAAAGGGGAAGCGAUAUCACCAGAGUGCUUUGCUUGAUUAAGAGACACAGAGAAGAGAAGAGAAAGAGAUGCCGCCACCUGGACCGGGAGGCCCACCGGGCUUUGGUUGCUUAGGCGCCCUCUGUAGCGGUAUAUGCCGCCUUUUAUCAUCUUGUGCUUAUGUCCUGUGCUGCUGCUGCCUGUUUGAGAGCUGCUGUGGACCCAUGUUUGGUGGGGGAUUUGGCGGUCCUGGUGGGCCCGGUGGUGGACCUGGUGGACCCGGUGGUGGACCUGGCGGGCCCCCUCGCUUUUGAAUAUGAGCUGGCUGCUGCUGCUGCCUGUGAUCUUCUGCAUAAUGUUGAGUUUCAAGUUUAACAAGAUGUUGGCAUGUUGCUGCUGUUUUUGCAACCUGCAACUCAAUAUUCUCCCUAUUUUAGCCCAUAUUUGUGUUUAUUUUGCAAUUUAUUUUUCAUUUGUUUUUUGUUUUUUGAGCAGAAUUAAUUAGUAUUAAUAUUAUAUAUUUUGUAACCUUUGUUUACCAGAUGAUCCACCAUCCAUGACAAUUAAAUAAAAUCUCUUCCUUUUUUUCCCCA